AGGCUUUGCUGUUUCACUCCACGAUGAGAGGGGUUGUGUAGAGGGAAUGCCGGAUUCCAAACGUGGAUGCAGGCGCCUGGGGCUUGAUCAGCGUCACCUGGAAGGGCGAAAAGGAAAGGCAGUCUGCGUUAAGCAAAGUUGCAGCAGGCUUGGAAGCCCCUGUGGCACAGGGGGAGCAGCCCAGGUUCGGAUGCUAACGCGGAAAAGAGGAGCGGCAGAGCUCACCUUGGCAAGGUCUUCGUCAAACCGACCUCGCUGGCUCCUUCCCCUCACAGAGUAGCAGGGGCUGGCCGAUGUGUAGACUGUGUUGGGCCCCAUCAGCCUGGGCAGCGUGUAGGUGCCAGGACCUGCAGGAGGAGCAGCAGAGAGCGUGUGCGCGAGGGGCUGGAGGAGACGGAAGCAGCAGAGAGGGGCAGCCUGCCCAGCCUGCUGGUGGGAGCAGGAGGGAGGUCUCGCCCCUCUGCCAGUUCCUCCCUCUACUCUGGCACUGGGCCAGCGCCAGCAGCUCCGAGCCUGAGCAGCCGCAGCCGCUGCGGGCCCAGAGGUGUUGGUCGUGCAAGAAAGCUUGCGGCCCCAGCGCCGCGUCCUGCCGCGCAGGCUGUGCAGUAGGCCCGCUGCUGGUGCUGAGCAGCAGCCCGUCCCUGCGGGAUGCUCAGGCUGAAGGGUCUGCCUUUGCCAGGGUCAGCGUACCUGGAGGGUGGUCUGUCCGGAGGGGCUCCCGCCGGAAGGCCAUGGACUGCACCGGUGGGCACUUGAAGACGUGCCUGUUGGCUGCCUCGGUGCGGUAGUCACCUGGGGCGGAAGAGAAGAGGAAGAAAGCCGUGAAGCGCCGGUCUUCUUCUUCUGCAACCGCACAGGCACUGUCCCGAGGAAAGGGUCUUCUCAAGAGCUGCAGAAUUGCCGCUGGGGGACACAGGCAGCACGCGGGGACGCUCUUCUGUGCCCCGCCGCUAUGCCCUGCCUUGCUGUCCCUCCCGUCAGCCCCCUGCCGCUUGUUCUUUUUGGACACGGGGUCCUUGUGCCCUCGGCCCGUGGCCCUGGGCAGCUGUCCUUCUCCGAGGGCGUUUAUCGCUGCUCAGAGCGGUUUGCGUUCUCUCAAAAAAGACCUACAGCUCCAUCAGGGCGCGAGCUGGCCCCGGGCAAACGCGCCGCCCGCUCGUCUUGUCUGGGUGAAGUGCUGCACAAGUGGUACUCACUUGGUCCGGGAGUGACGGUGGUCUUCGUCGCGGGUCGUCCCCGGAGCUGGGCGCCCGGAGCCACGUACUUCCCGUUCCUGGUGAUGGCGGGCUCCACAAAGUAGCAGGGACCUGGCCCGCAGCUCCCUGCCGCAGGCGGUUUGGUCCCUCUAAACGUGUAGGCGGGGGCACGGGCUUUGGUGGGGCUGUGGCCCACAUAACCUAGGAGGAAAAGCAGAAGAGAGCACACCCCUGUGCAGCUGCACGUCUCAAGCUCCGUUGGAACAGGCGCAGUUAGGCGCCGGGCCCUGGCCCCGACAUUCCCUUCCCGCGUGACUUCUUCCUCCAAGAGCCCUGGAGGCGAGCUGUGCCGGGCCUCGGAGCGCACAAGAGUCAGUCCCUGAGUGCAAACGGCUGCGCGAGUGCCUUGCAAAGUCACCGCAAAAAGACAGCGGAGUUUUGGCCAGCACGCUGCCUGUACCCGCACCACGCGUGCAGGCACUCCACAGCGAGAGCCCCCUAAGGGUCAAUUGUUCUGCAAGACCCCGUAACGCCUCUCUACAGCUGCAAAGCUGAGUCUGCGCUGGCCAGAAGCGGGCCCCUUUUUCCCCGGGCCACAAGGAGCAGCACCAGCGGCACCGGCCUUCCUCGGCCAGGCCUGGCUCGCGGCUGCGCCAGGGAGCCAGGAGGCUCUGACAGAACGGGGAAAGGCUCGGGAGCUGCUCUGCCCCGCCAUGUCCCCGGUGCGCCUCACGCCCUGGGGAUGGUGGCUGUACCUGUUGUCCCCGGGAUGGAGUACUGGGGCCCGGGGCUGGGGAACUGGGCCGAGAUGAGGCCGCGUGGGCGAUGAGGUCUCCAGGUCCCCACCCAGGCUCCGUCCAUGCUGGCAGGCAUGUGCCUCCAAACCUAAAGGCAAGAACAGAGGAGUUACUGACGGGCUGCCCCAACAGAGGCCGCAGGUGAGCUUUGCUUCCCGCCCCCCGCGUCUCCUCUGCUCAGCCGCAAGCUGUCCGCCACGUGGCUUGCAGCUCCUGAGCCGGAAGGGCCGGCAGCAGUUUCUCCCGCUCACUGCCAGUCCUGCCAGUCUCGUGCUGCAUGCCCCUCGCGCACACCGGAGCUCAGCCCGCACCCUGCAGCUGGGCUCUGCAGCCUGACGUGUGCAGGAGCUCUCCCUCACCUCUCUGAGCCUUGGAGGACGAGCGCGAUGAGGCUGAGCUAGUCUGCUGCUGGGGCUGCUCUCAGGCACAGGGCACGGCGAGCGGCUGCGGGCAGCACAGCUCACAAAUGAGGCGCCUGGAGCCAGCGGCCAGCUGUCCUUGGGGAGGGCCCGGCGUCGUCAUGGCAAUGCAUUGUGACAGCACACGGGCUCCGGGUGAUGUCAUCUGUGCUGUGACAUCUCCUGGCUGGCCUGGAGCCACGCCCGCCACGCCUUUUCGGCCUCGCACCCCAACCAGUACAAAGCCGUAGCGCACGCUGCCGACACCUGCAGAUGGACUGAGCUCUCACUUCUAGCCACGUGCCGCCCGGGGCUCCUGAGGCUCGGUCAGCGUCACCUGCAAGGGAGAGAUUACGUUACUUCGAACCUACUGGAACAUUUCUGAGAAUGACACUCUGUUCUUUGGAGCUCUGUGUGUAUAUAUGUAUAUAUAAAAAUAAAUAUACGAGAGCCCUAAAAGCACA